GGUAAAAACUAAUAAAAAUGCAAAAUUUCUUGAUCUCUUCAACCCCCUGAAGGGUGCAAAGUUGGGUGGAUGUGAUUACUUUGAUUGGUAUGAAGAACGACCCCCUUCACAAGCAAAUCAUGUAAUAUGGGGUUUGUUAAAGAAAGUUAAGGCUUUUGAAGAGAAAUAAAAUCGAGCAAGAAGAUACUACAUUGUUGGCGUUAUUGCUACUAGAUUGGUGUUGUUGGACACAUGGAUAUUCAAGACUAAUUACUGAAAUUUUCAUGCUGGUGUAUUUGUAUUUGUUACUGCUUUGGUGUUGUUGAGCACAUGGAUACUCAAGCGUAAAUGUUGGAAAAAUAUCAAAUAGAUUUAGACA